UACGUAGGGCGCGAGCGUUGUCCGGAAUUAUUGGGCGUAAAGAGCUCGUAGGCGGUUUGUCGCGUCUGCUGUGAAAUCCCGAGGCUCAACCUCGGGUCUGCAGUGGGUACGGGCAGACUGGAGUGCGGUAGGGGAGAAUGGAAUUCCUGGUGUAGCGGUGGAAUGCGCAGAUAUCAGGAGGAACACCGAUGGCGAAGGCAGUUCUCUGGGCCGUAACUGACGCUGAGGAGCGAAAGCGUGGGGAGCGAACAGG
rnacentral:rRNA from 1 species